rnacentral:sRNA from 1 species
AGUCGUGGUCUGGUGCACGAAGUGUGAGCAGCAAGAUCCUAGAUACUCACCUUACACCUUGGUGCGGAUAACAGAGGCAGAGAUGAGGGCCUAUCACCGUUUAGUAGGAAGUUGCAUCAGGCUAGAAUAUAUGGCAAAAAAAGAUGAAAUUAUGCAGCAGGAAGUCAGGCCCUUGAUGGCAGUGGAGAUAAUAGAACAACUUCACAGACAAUUUGCCAUUCUUUCAGGAGGCCGAGGGGAGGAUGGCGCCCCCAUCAUCACGUUCCCAGAGUUUUCGGGGUUCAAACACAUCCCAGAUGAAGACUUCUUGAAUGUCAUGACCUACCUGACGAGCAUCCCCAGUGUGGAGGCUGCCAGCAUUGGAUUCGUUGUUGUUAUCGACAGACGAAGAGACAAGUGGAGCUCCGUAAAGGCAUCCUUGACACGAAUAGCUGUGGCAUUUCCAGGAAACUUACAGCUCAUAUUCAUCCUUCGUCCAUCUCGCUUUAUCCAGAGGACAUUCACUGACAUUGGCAUUAAAUACUAUCAAAAUGAAUUUAAAACGAAAGUGCCGAUCAUCAUGGUAAACUCUGUCUCUGACCUUCAUGGCUACAUCGACAAAAGCCAACUGACCCGGGAAUUAGGGGGGACUUUGGAAUAUCGCCACGGUCAGUGGGUAAAUCACCGCACUGCCAUCGAAAACUUUGCCUUGACCUUGAAGACCACUGCCCAGAUGCUGCAGACAUUUGGGGCCUGCCUGGCCACAACAGAGCUGCCCAGAAGCAUGCUAUCCACGGAAGACCUUCUCAUGUCCCACACAAGGCAGCGGGACAAGCUGCAGGAUGAGCUGAAAUUACUUGGAAAGCAGGGGACCACAUUGCUGUCAUGCGUCCAAGAACCAGCAACCAAAUAUCCAAACAGCAAACUCAACCUCAAUCAAUUUGAGAAUGUAACUACCAUGGAAAGGUUAUUAGUUCAACUGGAUGAAACAGAAAAAGCCUUUAGUCAGUUUUGGUCUGAGCAUCAUCUGAAGCUUAACCAGUGCCUACAACUACAGCAUUUUGAGCAUGACUUUUGUAAGGGUCUUGCUCUGUCACUCCGGCUGGAGUGCAGUGGUGUGAUCAUGGCUCACUGUAGCUUUGAUCUUCUGGGCUCAAGCUAUCCUCCCACCUCAGCCUCCCAAGUAGCUGGAACUACAGGCAUGCCCCACCAUCACACCCGGCUAAGCUUGCCCUGGAUAAUUUGCUGGAAGAGCAAGCAGAGUUUACAGGCAUUGGAGACAGCGUGAUGCACGUGGAGCAACUUCUUAAGGAACACAAAAAACUGGAGGAAAAAAGCCAGGAGCCCCUGGAAAAGGCCCAGCUGCUGGCACUGAUUGGGGACCGGCUCAUCCAAAGCCACCAUUAUGCAGCAGAUGCCAUCAGGCCCCGGUGUGUGGAGCUCAGGCACCUCUGUGACGAUUUCAUCAAUGGAAACAAGAAAAAAUGGGACAUUUUAGGAAAGUCCUUAGAGUUUCAUAGACAACUGGACAAGGUGAGCAAAACACAGCCAAGAACAUGAUGUCUGCAAGAUUUUCUGUGAAGAAGCUUCCAUCAUACUUGUCCUCCCUUCCUUGCAUGAUUGCUGAGAGGCUCGAGUGCUUUAUAUGAAAAGAUGUUCAAGAGGCAUUAAAAACUGCAGAUCCUAGGUUGUAGAGGUACUGAAGGUAAAAAGUGCUCUGGCCAUCCCACCACAUCCCAUUAAAGUUAACUAAAGCCCAUUUCUAUCUGUGUGGAGCCAGACUUUAAGAGUGUGUUUUGGCCUGGCCCUGUGGGAACACUUCUUGAUUCCCUUUCAGGUGUACAGAGAACCAAGCACUAUAUUUGCAGAGUGCUUCCCUCAUAUAAAGGCAAAGGGUUUUGACUCUUUUUGGAGAAGCUUAAGUAAUAAUGACCAUUCUAUACUCCCUACCAUGUAUCGAGCACCUACUCUAUUCCUACCAGGAACAUAAUUAUGUCAUCUAUUUAUAAUCCUCAAGACAACCUCUGAGGAAGGUAUUAAUGGCCUCAUUGUGCAGAGGCAGAAACUGAUACUCUGCUGGGUCUCAAAAUGUAGCACACGAGAAUCACCUAGUGAGCUGUUAUAUGGCAGAUUCCCUUAUGCACCACCCUGGAGACUCAGCGUCAGUAGGUCUGGAAUACUGCCCAGGAACUAGUAUUUUAGUAAAGUGCCCAAAUGAUUCUGGUGCAGGUGGUGCAGGGAUGACACCAAGAAACCCUGGGGUAAGUGACUGCCCAAGACCACACAUGGUGCACACAGGGGAAGCCAGAAUUGAAGUCAGGCCUGCCAGAUUCCACACCAAGGCUUCACAGGAUAGAUAGCAAGGGCGCAUGCCAGGGGCCCACAGGGAGAGGGGUGUGCAGACCCUGGUGCCCUUUGGAGGUGACCUCUAGGGUAUGUUCCCAGUCAGCAGGAGCAGCGGUUUCUGGAGUCUUCCCUGUCAGCUGGUCCCAGGCAGCAUGUGGCUGAUGGCAAUGAGUCAGCAUGCUCCAUCCCCACAGCUAUUCCUCUUGCAUGGCAGGGGGCACCCACCCGGGCUGCUUACCUCAUCCCAUUGCUAAGGGGAUUUUAAUGUCAAUGAAAUAUAGUUGUUUCAGAAGCAAGUAGCUCCGAAGGGGCUGGUGCGCAGCAUGCUCUGUGUGCUGAGCUUGCUGCGGGAUCAGCUGCUGUUUUCCCAACUCCAUUUUUGCUCCAGAGAUAAUAAGCCUGGUGUGUGUGUGUGUGUGUGUGCGCGUGCACGUGCACGUGUGUGUGUGCGUGCGCAUGUGUGUAUGAGAAAGAGAGAGGGAGACAGAGAGAGAAAGCAAGUAGCCAUAGUAACUCUACAGAAAAUCCCAGCCUAAUGUUUUUUGCAGAUCUAGGCAUGAUGUGUAAAGAGAAAGUUUUCACAGCAUAUAUCAAAGCAUGAGUUCAUAUUAUUGUGGAAAUCCAAAAAUGUAGGAAGAAAAAGGUUACUCAUGGGCACGUACAUAUCCCACUAUCCCCCAUCUCUACAUAAUGGUAAUUAUUAAUUCUGAAAUAUCUUUAUGAUUUUUUAUUACUCUAAAUGUGGUACAUAUUCACUGUAAAUAAAAAAAAAGACAAAAAU